rnacentral:lncRNA from 1 species
UUGCAUUUCUACAUUUGUACAAUCUGAUUUUUAUGAUGCCCUUAAGUUGUUCGAUGAAAUGCUUCAUUGAAGUGUCUUUGUUCAAUUACUUUGUAGUAAGAUUGGUGUCAAUCCUGGCUCUGAGUUUCGAGUGGCAUGUGAUGAAGCAAACAAGUAUGGUGAUUUUUUUACCUGCGUUUUUAUGUUUCUGUUUUGAGUACCAUGUUUUGUUAUUCUUUUGUGCUUUUUUUUUACUCUAGGUACUGUUCUGUUACUUUUUGUUUGUACUAUCUACUCACUUGUAAGAGUUUGUUUCUAAUAUCCUAGUUGCUAAUUUCUUGUUUUCCUUGGCUGGGUUUUGAGCAUAUUCAGCAGGUGGAAUCGCACAUGACCUCUCUUGUUAUGAUGCAAAGGAGCUGUUUUUCGAGCAGAGUUGUUUUUCGCCUCAUCUGGUUCCCUGUUUUGCUGUUUAUUUUUUUUGCAACCUUAGGAGCUGCUGCAGAACACGUUUUCUAUGUGGCAGAAGAGCACACAUCAAGAAAUCACAAUGCCUUAGAACAUACCUUGUAGCCACUUUAUCAGAUUUUCUAUGUGACACAGUAUAAUGAGUACAUAAACUAUUUUUCAAAGUCUGUAAUAAGCGGUAGCCCUUAACCGAUGAUUAUGAAAUCCCAAAUUUGCACGGGUAUUUGAAAUUCAUUAUACGAAUUUAUAACUUGAAAGGGGGAUAUGAGGGAAGUUAAAAUUUGGUUGGGGAGACAGAUUUGAGGAUGCGUACAGUGGCGCAAAAAUGGUACAUAGGGAAGGAAAAAUUGGGGAUUUUUCAUAAUAAAAAAUUGAGGAUUUUCUGAAGCAGGGUAAUUUUUAGGUAUUUGUUUGAAAUUCAUAAUGAGGAUUUGAGAAUGAGAAUCUAAGUGAAUCAAUUGAAAUCUGUAACGCACUUGAUUUGGGGUGAAUGAAAAAGGAUACAUGGUUGAGAUUCAUGGAAACACUGAGAUACAUAUGAUAAAGGAUUUGAUGUCUCUUUUAAAACGGAAACUUAAUAUACAUGUUACAUUUUUUUUUAAAAUAGUUACAUGGUUGAGAUACUUACAUGUAGAAGCAAGGCAAGAUCCACGGAAAUUUACUAUCAAAAAGAAGAUCCACGGAAAUUUGUGUUGACUUGGAUGUUAAAUUUAAGCAUUAAGGUAGUGUUUGGUCCAAUUUAUUUUUGACUUUUAAGCUCUUAAAAUAUAAGCUACUUAUUUUUUUUUACAAAGAAAAUAUAAAAAAAGUGACUUUUAAGUAAAAAGUUAAACGAGGGAGUUUUUUUUUUAAAUAAACUGUAGAGACAUCACAUUUAUCCUCCACUACCACUACCACUUCUACCAUCAUGUCAACCACAAUCGUCCACUACCACCAUCGUUACCUCCGACACGACCACUACCACCUUCAUGGCCACCACCAUCACAUCCACUGCUACAGUCACCCUCCAUCACUUCUACCAUCACUUCCACCACAUUGUUGCCACUUGCACGACCACCGUCACCACCACCGCCACCACUCCAGUGCCACCACCACCAUCACCUCUACUGCUACCGCCACCCUCCACCACCACAUUGUUGCCAAUUGCACGACCAUUGUAGCAAUCUUUUGUUCCAAUAGAAGCAGAAGUGAUGUCGAUUAUUCAAGAAUCGAAGUCGAUUUGCUUUAUAAAAAGAGGAUAUCAAUGAACUUUUAUGAAAUGGUUUCACGGGAUUCAGCCAAUUUACAUUAUACGCAACAGAAGCACCUGAAGUACUAAACAGAAUAGGUAUUAGUUUGGUAAUGGUUGGAGCAGCAAACUCGGAUUCGGAUCCGCUAAGACUAACGUAUCUACAACUCCAUCCCCGAGCGGCAGUCAAACGGAGGCGUGAAUGCAAGAUGCCAGCAGAAUGAUCGGCCGGACAGAGGCUAGGGCUGCUUCCUUCCCACUGCGUCCUUCCUUGUGUGUUGAAGAUAUAAAGCGAGGAUAGAGUCGAUUACAAAAAGUACUUGGCCACCACUCCAUUGCCACCACCACCAUCACCUUUACUGUUACCGCCACCCUCCACCACCACAAUCGUCCACCACCACAUUGUUGCCACCUGCACGACCACCGCCACCACUCCAUUGCCAUCACCACCGUCAUUGCCUCCACCACCGUCACCUCUACUGCUACCGCCACCCUCCAACACCACCACCACCACCUUCUCUACCAUCACCUCCAUCAUAACCGUUCACCACAACCAUGGUCGCUUCCACAACUACAUCACCACAACCUCAAUUGCCACGACCACCAUCACCUCUAUAAAUUUAUUUAAAUAUGAAUGACACUACUUUAAUUACUUUGGUUAAGGAAUAUUUAUUGGUUUAAAUAACCCUUAGUAUCCAAACAAAGUCUUUCCAAUAUGUCGUGGUGGUAAGUUGUGUUGGCGGUGAUGACGUUGUUGGUUGAGGGUUGUGGAGCCGAUUUUCGGGGUGGAGGGUGGUGGUGGAGGGUAUUGUGGUGAUGACAGUGUUGUAGGAGGUUGUUGUUGCGGUAUUGGUCGUGUUGUAAGGGGAUGGUGGUGGUGGUGGCAGUUGUGGUCGUAUAGUGGUUGUAGAGGGUGGUGGCAGUGUAAGAGUGCGAUAGUGGAGGUGUCGAGGCGGCGUUAGUGGUGAUAGAUUAUAUGGUCAUGCAUAAAACAACAUAUCAAACGAAACCUAAUGUGUUGUCAUUGCUUCCAUUACCACUAUCAGCGUCACUACCUCCCCUACCUUCACCAUUGCCACCACCAUCACCAACAUUGUUACAGUCGUAGUAGUCGCCUUUACCACCUUCACCAACGUAGUCGCCACCUUUACUGUCGCCAGAGCUGUGUAUAGACUUUUUGGGGCUUAAGGUGAAAAUGUUAAAGUGAUUUUCAAUCGACAAUAAUCUUAAAGAAACUUAAUAUAUUAAUCUUCUAUUUAUAGGUACUAAUUGUUUUUUGUUAUGGGGAUCUAAGGCACAUGCCUAAGUGGCCCUUACGGUAUCGACGACUCUGACAGUCGCUAGCGUUGUCAACCACCACUGAUGCCGAUAGUGAUGGAGGUCGUUUCGGGCGUGACUUAGCGGUAGAUGGCAGAGGUGGUGGUGGAAAUUGCAGUGGUGGUGGUGAUGGAAAUCGCACGUUGGUAGAGAAUAAAACAUUAAAGUAAGGUGGUCUAGAACAAACCUUUCACUCGAAACACCCAUCAAAACUAGUUAACCUAUACACAUAAUGACCUGUGGCAGAGCAAGGAGUUUUUUUUUCAGAGGUUGCAAUAAAAUUUCAAUACAUAAAUUAAAUACUUUUUAAUCAAUAAUACACACAUAUGUUCAUAAGAAAAAUCAAAGAUUCAAUUGAUUCAUAUAAUAUGAAUAUUAGAAAUUUAUUAUGAGUUAAGUUAAUAUUUUAAAAAUUUGCUUCUCAAUUUUUUAUUCUCUCCACACAUAUAUACAUACAUAUAUAUAUAUAUACCUUUUUUUUGAAAUAAUAUAUAUAUAUACCUUUUAAUAAAAUAUGUCUUUGUUUUAAUGUAAAACUGUUUAAAAAUAUGUAGAUGAUGAGAUCUCAAAUAAAUAAAACAAAUAUUUAAAGAGGGAUAAAAAUUUGGAAAUUAUACACAUUUGCCCAGCAUGCUAGGUGAAAGAAUAAUAAUGUCAAACUAUUUCUUAAAAUUGCACUGGGUAUGCUUCGAACCCUAUACACGGGAGGCCUUAUAAAAAGGCUCUAUCACCACUAGGACUCCACAAGUUAUAGUCUUUGUUUGCACCGUUUAAAUAUAUUGCUUAUGUUCUAUAUACAAAAGAUUUAUAUUAUAUACAUCAUAUAAAAUAUUUUUUGGUUAAACAUAGCAUUUAAAUUUAUAAAGAUUGUGAAGUUUACCAUUUUACCAAUUUUAAUAAGAUCAUCAAAGUUGCUGCUGAGCAUAAGAAACGGUGGGAAAAGAGUCAAAGACAUAGCACAACAAUGCCAUCCACUUGUUAUAAUUAAUAUAACAUCAACAUAAAAUGAGAAAAUCAAUAUUUUAAAUGUUAGUAUGUGUCAUUUUGGACAUAAUAAAAUGCUACAUUAUUUUUCUAAUUAUUCAGACAUUGCCAUUUAUCUAGGUGUAGAAGUUUUAAAAUUUGGCAAAAUAAUUUGUAAAAUACAGCUACAAUCAAGAGUUCAGCAUUAAGCAUCAAUAUAGCUAGCAGAAAUGCAGAAUCCAGGGUAAAUGUUUGUAUUUGGCAACAUACCCCGUGGAACAGAUCAAACAGAUUACACAAAAGAAUCAGUUAAAAGUAUAGAGUAUCAACUACAUGUUUUUCGGUUGGCUGUGAAUUAUAGACCUUUUCUAUAAAAGUAGUAAUGCUUACCUAAAAAGGCCCAACCGCCCAACUAAAACAAGGGGCUUCAUAGUGUCAUAGAUCCCAAAGUACAUCCCUCGAUACAUGGUGUGAUUCCUAAUAUUGAAACCCCAAAUCCCCUGUACAAGCCAGCAAUUCCGUCAAUUGAUAAGGUUUUACGGUAAACAUCAACUACUCCUUUAAACUGGCGCUGAUCAGUAGCACGGCACUCCUGUGAAUCAGUAGCCAAUCGCGUACGUGCAUAGUCUAAAUGAUACAAAAGCAGUGAAGUAGUCGCUCCUGCAGCACUGCCUGAAGCCACAUUCCCAGCAAACCAUUUAAUUUGCCCGUCUUUCUUUUUGGACUAUCCAAAGAUGCUUUUGAAGUAACCUUUGAAUGCAAAAUUGAAAGCCUAUAGACCAAUUAACUCUUUGCUCAAACACUAUUUCUAAUACAUAAAAGAAAAUCAUUAUUUGAGAGCCAUGAUCACAUGAGUUGAUGGGAAUAGAAAGCAGUCAAAUUAAUGGUUUCUCUUCUAUAUGUAUGGGCCCCUAUUUUAUAUAAGCGCAGAUGCCCAACUAAUGAUAUUUCACAUGUGAUGACAGGAAAAACACAAAGCAUGUUCAGGGGGAAUAAUGUACAAAACUACAAAUUGGACAUGAUCACAUAUCAAAGAAUGUGAUUAUUUGUCAGGUACAUAUUAUAUCAUGCCAUAAAAUAACUAUGUAUAAGAAAAUGCGAUUAGUCUAGGCUCUGAGAUAAUAUACUUUUCAAUUUAAUAGUGAAUUAGGCAGACAAAAGGCUAGGAUGGAAGAGAAGUUAUCAAAUAUUCGUCUUACUUUAAUAUCUAAAAUCCAUGGAUGACAACAAAUAUAAAACCCAUGAACACAAGAAUUUACGGCUAUUAUGUGAUGUGAAUUUUUAUUUUUUAGUGAGCUGCACAAGAAAUAAUUACCUGAUACAUUUAAUGGUAUAUAACUACAUAUCAGCAUCCCACAUAACAUGUCAUGUUCAUUCUUUUGAUUUCUUUUCUUUUCUUCAAAGAUAAUGUGUAUGAUAUCUUGAAAGAAAGAGGAGAUUAAAAUGGUGUAUGUGGGGAUACAGUUCUUGAACAUUAAUCAGAAUGUCAGUAAAGUGAAUAACUCACCUGUGUGGGGAAAUACCUUAUAUCAUUGGCCCGGUUACCUCUCCAAAAAAGCAAUCAGACCCUCUUCCAGGAAAACCCUUUUAAAGCCAUUUGACACACCCAGGUAUGGUUUUUUGAGUCGUCCUCUUUUAAUCAAUUCAUUUUGGUUUUGCAAUAAAAGCUUGGCUCUCUCAAUUGGUGCCACUGCACUCUUUGAUAUGAUUGCUGCAACUCCUCCCAUGACAAAAUCCUUUGAAAAUCUUUCAUAUUGCGUAGAUGUUACCAUCUUUUUUGGACUCUUGUCUCUAAUCCUGGCAGAAGUAAUAGAAACUUGAUCAGCAAAAAAAAAGGGCAUGAAUACCUAUGAGAUGAAAUUACAAAUAGAUAAAAGUGACACUGGCGUUAAGCGAAAAAAGCAGGUCAACCUCUCAGACUCCUUUCAAACGAGAAAAAAGUGCAGGAAAGAAAAGAAAAACAGUGAAACUUGAAGAUCUCUAAGAAUGUGGUAGCAGAUUCAGUUCGGUUCAUAGCAAACAAAUUGCUAAAAAGGAGUGGCCACCUCAAGCAAACAUAAUGAUGUUGAAGUGAAAUUCCGAUGCAGCAGACACAACAACACAUACAACAGCAGUACCAUAAUCAAUCCAAAUCAGUAAUUCAAAAGGUAAAAGAAAAAUUGAAAGAUGGAUAGUGAACCCCUUCAUAGGUGAGAGGAAAACCAAGAGAAUUUGACAGCUUUGUGAAGAACCAUGACAUGGGAACAACCUUCCAAGGCCAGCCAACAAAUGAAACACUUCAAUGGCAUCUUGACAAUCUUCGAUGUCACAGAGGACACCAACUAGUUCAGCAUGAAAAAAGCAUGAUAUGUAAUCAUUCAAAACUCAGAGCCAGGAUUGACACCAAUCUUACUACAAAGUAAUUGAACAAAGACACUUCAAUGAAGCAUUUCAUCGAACAACUUAAGGGCAUCAUAAAAAUCAGAUUGUACAAAUGUAGAAAUGCAACACCACAAUUGUAGAAAAGAAACUAGACUCAGAUUAAAGUCUUAAAAUUCCAUGGAAACAAUCAACCACUGAAAUAAAAACAGUAUAGAAAAAUUGAACUUGUAAACUGUGUAAACAACUGAAUUGAAGAAAAACAAACCAAUUCAAGAAGGACGUAAGAAGAAGAGGCAAACAGCUUUGGCAUGCUGGUUGGAGAAGCGUCCACCACCGCACCACGUCGAUCUAGGUUGCGGUUGCCGCCGGCGAAGGGAAGAGCAUUUUUUUUUUCUUUUGAAACUAAAGGAAGAACGUGAAAGAGGAUUGUGGGUAUAUUUUUUAAUUUUAUAAAAAAGGAGGAGCACUAAGCUAUUAACUAAAUUAGCAGGGGUUGUUCUAGAAUUAAAUUAAAUAAUAAAAUAUAUAUUACGAAAAUAAAAUAUUAAAAGUGAUGUGGAUAAUAACGUGACACAUGUCACAAUAUAACUGGUACAACAAGGCCAUGGGUGAUAUAACCCAAAAUUGAGCAUGAGUUAUUUAGACAACCCAUUUGAAUAUCAUUUGCAUAUUGAUUGAGAACAAUUGAUUUGAGAUUAAUUAAUGAUACAUCAUGACAUACAUGAAAUCUAAAAAAUAUAACAAAUAUACUAAUAUAACAAAUUUACUAGACUUGAGACUUAAAGCAUCCUUCUUCAUGCUAUUGAUUGUCUUCAUCAAAAUCCUUUUUUCUUGGGCUAGAAAUACUUCUUCUUGCACCUCCUAUGAAAUUUCUACUACAUGACAUAUUCAAGGGAAUGGGUGGAUCUGAAAAAGCUCCCGUAGAUAUUAGAUCAAAUACAACUUUGUUAGCUGCCUCAGUGUAGUGGUACCCAUCCCAUAUCACUCUAGUGGAUGGUUUUUCACAAGAGCCCACAAAAAUUUUAUCACCAUCUACGGUUAUAGUUCCCCCGCAUACAACUCCAUCUAUAUAAUUGUAUUUUCCUCCAUAGCCACAACAAGUAACUAGUGGGUGCUCAAAUCCUGCACAUUAAUGAAUCUUUAAAUUAGUAACAUUCCUUUUAGGUAAGCUUGAUUAUUUCAAUGAGAAUUGAGGUCAAUUUGCUUUGGCUCACCAUAUUUCUUUGGAUUGCAAAAUAGAGAGUACUUAGCUGAGUAGAUAUCUACAUAUGCCAUUGAAACCAAAAGGUCCUCAUGAAGUUUAGCUAAUGCUUCCUUCAAUUCUUUGUUGAAAUAUUGUGCUACUUCAUUAUAUUGCUUUGCACAACCAGAACUAUCUCUUUCGGCAGAUGGAAAUUUAGUCAAUAUGCCAGGGAGGCACCCGAUUGGUCCUGUGUUGUGUAUCCAAAACGAUCUAGCCCCCAAAUCAUAUAUGUUCUUGAUCACCAAGUUUCAUUCAUUUAAAACAAGAAAUUAAGAAAUUGAGAACUAAUAUGAAAGUGGCGUUCCAUGAAAGAACUAAUUUGAUUAUUGACUCACGACUAUAUCAAAAGAGUGUUUAGCUACCUUAAUAUUCGCUACGAAAUUGUCGACCAUAUCAUGUAUAGAAUCACUGACUUGUUGUAUAGUCGUGUUACCAGAAAAGGCAUCAAUAAGAUCAUUUUGACCAAUAUCAAAUGUGUAUAAAGCUCUAGAAAAAUACUCUUCUUUGGGCAUCAACGUUGAAAACAUGCCACCUAACCGACAAACAUUUGAAGAAAAACAUGCAAAACACAUUGUUGUUAAUUGAACUCAAAAUAACCAAAUUAUAUCAAUGAAAAUAAUUUCUAGACUGACCUUGAUCUUUUAUGAAUUGUGAUCUUGCUUUAAACUCUUUGAAUUGAAGGUACUGAACUCCUAAGAAGAAAGGACUACCUCGAGGUUUAACACUCUUAGGGAGUAUAAUUGUUGAUCCUAAUGUUGCAAAGUUUGCACCAUGAGAGAAGUUUGAUCCCAGAGAGUCAAGAUACGCACUAAGAUAUGUAAGUCCAAAACUUUGUGCUGAAAUUACAAAGAUGUGAAUGAAAAUUAAACUUAAAACCUUUCACUUUACAAUGAUGAAUGAUCUAAAUGAUUAUUAAAUUUCGACAUGUUAGUAAGUGAUUGAAGGAUAAUUUUAUUUUUUCCCGAACCACUGUUGAAAUUGCAAAGUAAUGAAUCAAAGUUAGACUUAAUAUUUAAAGGUGUUAUUUAUAUAUAAAGAUUCAAGUAAAAAGUGUGUGACCGAGAUAUGCUUGGCUCAGUUAUUAAAGACAAAUCACUUCACCUCAAAAAAAUUGUGUGUUUGAUUGUGUGUUUAAUGAACAAUCUGCAAGUGACAUAUAAUCCUGGAGGCAUAUCAUGAACUAUAGUAGUCACUAUAACCAAACCGACCAAAACGUUUGCUCUUCAUUGAAAAGAGUAAAAUAUGUGUGUAAUUCCUAAUAGUUUUGUAAUAAAUACUAUUUUUCCAUAUAUGCAUCUAGAAUCAUGCUUUUUAUACUUAAGGUAAGUAAAACAUUCCCACAAGAAAUAGAACUACGUUACCUAUGAAAUCAAUGAUGAUUCGGCCAUCAGAGUACCUUCCAGCGGGUCUGUGAAAAUAAGUGUCUCCAUGUGGUGGUUUUGGUCCUUCAAAGGCAGCAGCGUAGCCUCCAGUAUCUGAGUUUGAGGCACCAAAAUUGAAGAUGGCUGGAAAAUCACAACCGCCGCCAUAUACAGGGUUCAGUAGUGUAGUUGACGUAGCAGUGAAAACAAAAACAAAAAGAGAUAUUUGAGUGAUGAAAAACUCCAUUACAGAGAUGAGUUCAUUCAGCAAAACACAAAGGAACCAUAAAAUUGAUAUAUAUGCUUGACACAUAUAGAAGCUCACUUUUCUGAACUUGAAUUAUUGGACACUAAAUCAAUAAUAGAAUAACAAGAGUGACUUUAUAAAAAGUACAAGUAAUCCCCCACAAGGUAAGGCGUAUCAUUUAAUUUUGUAGAUCCUUUAAUAUAAUAUUUCACGUGUGUCAUGUGUAGAACAUUGUUAAUUGGUAAUUGGUAUAGUGCUCUUGAAAUAGUUAGGAUUUAUUUUUUGGACAGAGAAGAGUAGACUUUCAAACAGAAUUUUUGCGAGUUCUCCUUAAUUAUUGUGAAAUAUAAUGGAAUGUCCAAUUUAAUUUUUUUUAGAUAAGCAAUGAUUUUAUUACGCACAAGGGGUGCCACCAAAAAACAAGUCAAAACAGAUCAUUGAAUUUAAUUGAGUGAGGAGAUCAAGAUCUUUGCUGCGAUAAGAAAGAAAGGGCCGGAAAGCUACUUCGAAUAUUGAAUUAUUGAUGUGCGUUAACAUAGCAUAAAUUGUACUUUGUUUUUAUUAUGGUUUUAUCUAGGCCUAAUUGUUGUAUUUGCUAUACAAAAUUCACAUGUUUUUAAGUGUAUUCGCAAUAUGUAGGUAGAAAGAGGGGAAAAAGAGAAAAUAGUGAAAAGUUGCUCUUUUAGUGGAAUUUUACAUGCUAACGUAGAGGCAUGAUCGUGCUUGCCAAAUACUACAACCAUGCUCUUGAAAAUGAAGCUCCACAACCAUGCACUCCUCUUUUUGCCCAUGCUAAGUAUUAAAGUUAGCUUGCUAAGUUGCACAACAGAAGCCUCGUGAAAACCUAAUUAUUUCCUACUUAAAGAGAGGCUAGGGCAUUUGUAAGAUGGUGGAACUUUAGAGUAUUGUUUUGUAUGCAGGCUAGGAGGGAGGGAGGGAGGGAGAGAGAGAGAGAGAGAGAGACUUAAUGACGCAAGGCUAUGAAACUCCACCUACUAACAUUUUUGCCGGUAUGAGAGGAAGGGAAAGUACACUUCCCAAGGACAGGGUUGGUCAAACAGGUGCUAUUAGUGGCGUUAGGUUUUCAGGCGUCACUCUGACAAUAUUUAUUUGAUUCGACGUCAGUUGCAUGCUUACGCAUGGAUGCUCAUACCCAACCACUUCAGAGAGAGAGAGAGAGAGAGAGACUUAAUGGCGCAAGGCUAUGAGACUCCACCUACUAACAUUUUUGCCGGUCUGAGAGGAAGGGAAAAUACCCUCCCCAAGUAUAGGGUUGGUCAAACAGGCGUGCAUUAGUGGCGUUAGGUUUUCAGGCGUCACUCCGACACAUUUUUAUUUGAUUCCGACGUAAGUUUGCAUGGCUUACGGCAUGAGAUGCUCAUCCCCCAACUACUUCAGAAGAGAGAGACUUAAUGGCGCAAGGCUAUGAGACUCCAUCUACUAACAUUUUUGUCCGGUCUGAGAGGAAGUGAAAAUACACUUCCCAAGGAUAGGGUUGGUCAAAUAGGUGUCAUUAGUGGCGUUAGGUUUUCAGGCGUCACUCCGACAAUAUUUAUUUGAUUCGACGUAAGAUGCAUGCUUACGCAUGGAUGCUCAUCCCCAACCACUUCACAGAGAGAGACUUAAUGGCGCAAGCUAUGAGAUUCCACCUACUAACAUUUUUGCCGGUCUGAGAGGAAAGGAAAAUACACUUCCCAAGGACAAGGUUGAUCAAACAGGUGUCAUUAGUGGCGUUAGGUUUUCAGGCGUCACUCCGACAAUAUUUAUUUGAUUCGACGUAAGCUCCAUGCUUACGCAUGGAUGCUCAUCCUCAACCACUUCAGAGAGAGAAAGAGACUUAAUGGCGCAAGGCUAUGGGACUCCACCUACUAACAUUUUUCCCGGUCUGAGAGGAAAGGAAAAUACACUUCCCAGGGACAAGGUUGGUCAAACAGGUGCCAUUAGUGGCGUUAGGUUUUCAGGUGUCACUCCGACCAUAUUUAUUUGAUUCGACGUAAGCUGCAUGCUUACGCAUGGAUGCUCAUCCCCAACCACUUCAGAAAGAGAGAGAAAAAAAAAACGUGACUGGCUCGAAGGAAAAUAAGGGAGAGUAAACUUAGAAGAUUAUUUCAGGUUUAUGUAUGGUAUUAUUAGGUUCAUUAUGUUUUCUAUUAGAAUUAGUUAUUCCAUCACCUUGAAAUCUGUAAGAUAAUAAGAUAAUGUAAAUUUUCUCACUUGAAUCAACACAUCUUCUGCUAUCUCUUUUGAGUGAACGAUUGACUUGUCAGUAAGCUCAAGUGAAAUGUUAAUGGCUCUUAACCUAACUAUUCUUAAUCUCUAUAAAACCGAUCGAAUAAGGCAUUAAAUCCACACUUGACCCCAAAUCAAUGAAACACUUUCAGAGUAUAUAUUUCCCACAUUUCAAGGAUUGGUGAAUUGACUGAAUUCCCCUGAAUCUUUAAGCUUAGAUGGUAAUCUAGUUGAUCUUUAUUGGGUUCUCCAUUUUGAUUUUCUUCAAUAGCUUUAGUAUUAUGUUGUAUUCAGCAUUAUACUCAUUAUCAUGAAUAAGAAUACUUAUAGUAGCCAAUGCAGAUUGGCCUUUACCUUCUUCUUCAAGCUCUUGGGAACUCCCUUUAGUGCGAAUUCCUACGAUCAAUACAGAGGCAAAACUUGAUUGUGCUUCUUCAGCUUUAAGUGCAUCCUCUUUUGUAAGUCCAACAAGUGUGAUAGUCUUAGCUUCCUCCCUUGAGUUGGGCUCUGUUUGUGAAGGAAGUGUGUCUUGUGUCCUUGGAGUUGGGCUCUGUUUGCGAAGGAAGUGUGUCUUCUAUGUAGUGAUGCAUCCUUCCGGCAAGGAGGACAAUCAAGCCGACACCUUAUCCGUAAGGGAGAGAAUGGAAACAACCUCAAACGAAUAGUGUCAGUAGGAACAUGGUUGUACUUAAUGUACCUAUGAUUUUGAUCCCAAUAUAUCUUUAUUAAAUUUAAUCCCUCAAAAUUUUCAAUAAUUAUAAUUAAAUCCAUCGACUAGUUUUAUACCUAAAUAUCUCAAAUUCUCAUUUUUCUUUGCGAAUCUUUACUAAUAAGUAAGUUUAAAUCACUUUAAACAUUCAUUCGAUAAAAACACAUCAGUACAACAGUACUGAUAUAUCCAUAGAGUUAAUUCACUCUGAUUUUAAGUUAAUCAAAUUUAUUUAAGUGAAAAGUAUAGAGUGAAUUAGUAUUGAGCUUGGCGCGCGGUCAAAGGGAUUUUACCCCUGCGGAAGCUUCUUCAUGCGCGGGGUGUUGAUGUUGAGGAGGUGUGUCCACUUUGCCAUGAUGAGGAGGAGUCUAUCAACCACAUUUUGGUCUCAUGCCCGGUGGUGAGUCGUUGGUGGUUCGCUCUCAUGGGUUCUUUACGUGUUGAGGCGUAUGGCUCGGUGCAAGGUAUUUUGCAGUAUUGUUUUGAUAUUAAUGAUGUAGAUAUGGCUUCAAGGUGUGUGAAUUUUGUGUGGGCUAUAUGGGAAGCUCGCAACAGGUUGGUGUUUCAAGGCAUUACGUCUUCGUUGGACGUCUUGGCUUCUCGGUUGCAGAUGAUUCAUGCGCCCCCUAGCGUCUCCAUUUCUCCUCCAGGACGUGACUUUGCAGCAGUGUGGAAAAGGCCUCAACCGAACGUGACCAAGCUCAAUUUUGAUGGCUCUUGGAAGACUAAUCGUGCGGCGGACUUCGGUUGUGUAGCGCGGAACCACCACGGUGAGGUUAUGGCGGCAGCAACGGUCUCUCCGGUGGAUGCUUCAUCUCCAUUGAUGGCUGAAGUUCUUGCUUUUAGAUGGUGUCUCUCUCUUGCAGCUGAUCUUUUCUUCCAUGAUAUAGAGGUGGAAACAGAUUGUCUCAAACUCUAUGAAGCUUGGAACAAGCAUUUGCAGGGAGCUUCUUAUUUUAUUUCUAUUCUUAAAGAUUGUAAGGAUUUGGUUUUAUAUUUUUCUAGUUUUCGUUUGUCUUUUGUCGUCGAUCCGGUAACUCUGUAGCUGAUUACUUUGCUAAGAACUCCUCAAGGUAUCCCAACUGCGUUUGGAUUGAGAAGGUUCCCCCAGAUUGUUUCGGUUUGGUCGCGUCUGAUGUAACUACCUCUAUGACCUCUUGAUUUUAAUAUAUGUUCUACGUUAAAAAAAAAGUUAGCAAAAAUCAUAUAGUCUUAAUUAAUAAACAUUUUCUAUGUUUUGAUUCUAUUAUCUAUAGCAGGGCCCUUACAUAUUUGUUAUGAUCAAAUGAGAAAGUCGCAUUUAUUCCACACUAGUAUAUGAGGAGGUGAUUCAUUUUUUAUAGAUAACCGACACACCAUUACUCUUGUUUACCUAGGUCCUAACCAAAGCACAUGCAGUCGCAUGAUAAGUCCAAAAACACUAAUCAUUCUAUAGCUUAUAUAAAAUGAGUUGUAUUUAUCCUCCACUUUAUUCAGAGAAUGAGUUCACAUGAUAAAAAUAGAAUCAUAUUAUGUGCCCCCAAUUACAUUCUCUUUUUGUUCCUCUAAUCCUCUGAGUAUUAAAUCUGUCACGCACCCUUUGGAUCCUCAGUAAACUAUCUCACGGUCCAACUGACCCCAUAUUUCUGGUUCAUGAUAUUCUAAUAUCAAUGAAAUUUUCAUGUGAAUUUGUUACCAUUUUCAAAUUUUAUUUAUUUGUCACUUGUAUAAAGUAUUAAUUAAAUUUUAUUGAUAAUAACGGGAUAUAAUUCUUAAUGAUAAUAGGAAAAUUGAGUAGUCAAAAUCUAAAAAAAUAAAGAUAUAUCAAUAAGUCAAAUAGCAAUAUUAAUAAAAAUGUAAAAAAAAAUUAUUAAUACAAAUGAGAAUAUUAUCACCGUUAAUUUUUUAUUUCAUCUUAUUUAUUCUUUUUUUUUCUUAUCACAACAUCCAUCACAUAUUAUAUGAUUUCUCUAAAAUUUUUCCUUGUUUGAAUGAAGGGAAAACUCGGGGCCCCACAUAAAUUAAUCUCUUGUUCUUGGUUCGAACACUCAAAGAAGGGGUAGCCCCUAAAGAGUAGAGAUAUUGCACUAGAAAGAUAGAAGAUAACUGAAUUUCAUAUGUAUGAAUUGAUCAAAUGCGUCAAAAGUCUUUUACAAUUGGUAAGUGUCCUCUACUUAUAGGGUGGGAAGUGAGCUUCCCGCGCUACUGCCUCUAAUGGGCCUAUUGGGCCUCGCCUUGGCCAGCGAGACCCAACUACGGAUUGUGCGCCCGCCCCUUAGCGAGAGUCCCUCUGGGCGUAGCCCCUUACUCCCAGUCCAUCUCUCCUCUCCAUUAUCCUUGCGAACCAAACACGAAAGAUUCUAUAAUCCUUUCCUUUUCUCUUCCUUCCUUUAUCUUCCCCCAAAACAAACAUAAUGCAAGUCUCAGUGAAUUUUGGGUGAUUAAAGACAAAAAGACAUUAUUUCCCCUAAACAAACAUGGUACUAUAACCAAACAAUAGAUAGUGGGUCAUAUUCCAGAAAUUGAAUGAGUUGAAACGCAUGUGUGUAUAGAUGCAUUUGUCAGACACUGACAGCUCUUUGCGUAUCCAUCAUGCAUGAGAACCUCAAACCUGCCGUCAAUUACAACCUUCACCCAUUUUUCUGUGAUCCUUGCUUUUCUUCAGCUCUAUCCAACCUCACAGACAAUGACACCACCCCUUUAAUAUUCAUCCUAAUUUCUACUAUAUAUUAUUAUUCAAUAUUAUUAUUGUCUGCAAACCUAUAUAUUAUUAUUCAAUAUUCAUGACCCUUUUCUGAAAUUUGCAUAAAAAAUGUCCAUGAUUGUUGAUUUCUCCUAAAGUUAAGAUUUUGAUGUUGGAUUCUUCGCUGUGCCACUACCAAACCAGAUAAUCACAAAGGGUAUAGUUCUAUGAUUGGAAAAAAUCAAAAAAAUACAAACUAUUUUUUUUAUUUUGUUGUUUUUGUUAUGCAUUUAAAUUUUGCUAAUUUUGAUUAAUUCUUUCUAAAAAUUGAAUCUUUUUGUCAUUUUAGGAUUGCCCAUGAUUUAGAAUUGCUUGUUAAGAGAAAAAAUCAAAUUGGGUACGAACAAAAUUUCUUGUGUGGAAUUUUGGUGAGUGAUGCAGAGUGAAGAAGGUGGUUGUGGAAAUGGCGAAUCUGGUUCCUGGUGUGCUUCUGAAGCUGUUACAGCACAUGAAUACAGAUGUGAAGGUUGGAGGGGAGCAUAGAUCAUCACUGUUGCAAGUUGUGAGCAUUGUUCCUGCGCUUGCAGGUGGAGAAUUGUUUCCGAAUCAAGGGUUUUAUCUGAAGGUUUCAGAUUCGUCUCAUGCUACGUAUGUUUCUCUGCCUGAUGAAGAUGAUGAUCUUAUUUUGAGUGAUAAGAUUCAGCUGGGGCAGUUUGUGUUUGUGGAUCGCGUCGAGGCGGCUUCGCCGGUUCCGAUUUUGAGAGGGGUUAGGCCUGUUCCGGGGAGGCAUCCUUGUGUAGGAACACCUGAAGAUAUUGUUGCCACUCAUCCACUUGCAUUUCUGAAUAAUGGCGGUGGUUCUUCUGGGGAGAAGGCGAAGGAGAAGGAGAAGGAGAGGAGCGCGAGAUCAAAUGGGGUUGGUAGUGGUGGUGGUGGUGGUGGUGGUAUGGGAGAAGGAUCAGAGAAGAAGAGUGGUCUUCUUGGUAGGUUUAAAUCACAGGCUCAGCCAACAAAGCCAGCAGCACUGAAGAUUGAUGUGAAGAAGGAACCGUUGCCUCGGAUGAAGUCUAUGAAUUCAAGGUCGAUUCCUUCGUCGCCGAGUAGUUGCUACUCGUUGCCGACUUCUUUUGAGAAAUUUGCCAAUGGGGUGAAGCAGCAGCAGGCAAAGGUUAGUGGUAAGAGGGUGGAGAAGGUCACUGCAAAUGUGGGAGUGGUGGAGACAGGAAAAGGUGGUUCUUCUGGGAAGAAAAUGGUGGUGGGGAAUCCAAUCAGAAAUUGGAUGCAGGGUAUUGACCUUGGGGCUAAGGUUCUGCGGAAGAGCUGGGAAGGGAAUAUGGAGGUCAAGACUAGAGAGUCUCCCAGAGCUAGGGGUGCUGCCAAGGUUGAUCCUAAGCCUGAAGUUCGUAGCUCGGUGAGUGUGAUAUAAUUUCAUCUUCAUUCUUUUGGUUUUAGUGCAUGUUUGGAGAUCUUUUUUACAUUUGAUUUUAGAGCCAUAAUCAAUUAUAGGGACAAGCUUAUGUGAGUAAUUUCUGGAGACAUGAAGUGAUUUUGAUAAAAGAGAACCUGAUUCAAACAUGUUAUUAGUUGCAGCUCCUGAUGUCAAACACUAAGCCUUGUAGGAUAUAUUGCAUCUUUGUUUUGUUCUUUUUUUCUGUCCCUUUCAAAUUUCAUGUGGAAUAUGUGCUAUGUAGUAUAGUUGGUGUUUGUGAUACCUGGAUUUCAUUUCCUUUGACUUUUGAUUCAAUCAAGCCAUUAUCUUCCUUACGUUUUAUGAUCUACCAGACUCCUAGGAGAAGCUUCUCGAAUGGGAAGUUGCCAUCUAAAGAAGUCCAAGCACCAACAAAGUCUUCCAAGGACGAACAUAAGACUCAGAUGUCUAUAAAGAAGGCUACUGCUAAUGGAACUUUGGAGGAACAAGAAAAGUCAAGUAAACAAAGAACUUCCAUUGGAAAGAAAUCAGCAGAAGUUGCUAACCACGGACUCCCCGGAAACUUGGUCAAAGUUUCUCUCAAUAGUAGAAAAGUGACAGAUGCAAGUGUUCAAUGGGCUUCACUCCCCUCAUCUAUUUCAAAGAUUGGAAGGGUAUAUUCAUUGAAAAAUCCUUGGCUUUUUACACUUAAUUUCUUUGAUUCUUGGCUGUCAAUUGUCUAAGCAUUCAUGAAUACAAAUAUAAUAAGUAUGCUGCAAGUAUAAUAGUUUUGGAUAUAUGCAUGGAUUACACUUUGAUGAACAUUCUGUGUCCUUGUUCGAGUACAAGCCCUUCAACCAAUUGAUGCAUUGUUCAGAAAAUUAUAUAUGGCUUACUGAAUCUUUCUGUUCAAAUUAUAAAUUUUGUAACUGUAUUGUUUCAUUCUUAUUCCAUGGUCACCUUUGUGACAGGAAGUUAUGAGGCACAGAGAUGCGGCACAGAUAGCAGCAAAUGAGGCUAUGCAAGAGGCUGCCGCCGCUGAGAGUUUGCUGCAAUGUCUAAGGUAUGAAAAUAUUCAGGAGAUUAACUUCAUGCAACUAAGUAUAGAUUAUUCUUCUGGACUGCUCGAUUUGUUAGAUCAGGUCUUAGUUCUUAGUGUUACUCCACACUGCCGAGAUUAACUGUGUAUACAUGAAAACCUAGAUAUAUUGCUGAUAGUUGUACUUCUGAGUGAGUUCUCCAUCUACUGAAGCACAACACUUCUAGAGGAUAGGGAAAACAUUUCUAUACUCGGUUCAGUUAAGAUGUAAAUCAAUAAAUCAUUCUCAAUCAAAAAAAUAUUCUUGCUACUUUACUAUUAUCUAUCACUUUUACGAUAUUCUAUGUAAUCAUCAGAUGAUACAGAUAAGAAUGUAGAAACUGAGGCAUUUGCAGGAAUCCUGAACUUCAUUACUUAUUAGCAAUGUUAUAUACAGGUUUUCUUCACCAUUUUGUCCUAUUUGAAGCUAUUUUCCCUAUUUCAUUACCGGUCAUGUAUUUAUUAGUAAUAGUCUGUUUUAUCAUUCCUUGGGUAUCUCUUGUCAACAGUUGGAUAGAUUGUCAUUAUAAAUUCCUGCCCCUGUAUUUCUGAUGUUUUUUUUAUACUCAUACCUGAUGAAAGUUAUAUUUGCAUUUUCAUUUAUGUGCUUGGAACUGAUAUAGCAUCUUGCAAAUCCACUGGCCAUACUCAUUGUUCUUGAGUACAUGUAGUUCAUCCAAACUAAGUAGGCUUGGAACGGCACCUGCAUGACAAAUCCUGGAUCUUUGUACUUAUUUUGAUUAAAAUAUUUCCUCCAUUGUUCUUUGUGUUGAGAUUUAAGAAGUCGACUGAAGUCCUAGGGCUACGUUGACUAGAGAUAUGGCCAAAUAAGUCAUUGUAUAGAGCAAUCCUCACCCAUGAACUAGCUUUAGGGAUAGAGUUAAGCCUAACCUGAAUUAUAUGAUGGUGUCAUAGCUUAUCUUAGAUUCGUUUGUUGGAGACUACCCAUAAUUUCACAAUACUACUGAAAAUCAUUGUAGCUUAUGCCAUGGUAAGAUGCUGAUUGUACAGCAGAAUUUUGAAUUUCCGGUUUAACCGUCAAUGCAGUUAACCCAUUUCAAUAGACUAUUCUAUUAUGUGGAAAUGUUGUAAUUCAAUGCCACAUACCAAGUUGUACUUGUUGCUAACACUUUUUUGUGAUGUUUCUGGCAGUAAGUAUUCGGAGUUAACAAAUUCUGCGAAGGAAGAGAACCCCCAGCCAGCAGUAGAGCAGUUUUUAACUCUUCAUGCUAGCCUAAACAGUACCCUGAUGAUUGCUGAAUCAUUAUCUAAACCCAUUCCAGAUGGUUCAUCUCCAGAUUAUGAAAGGAGCAAAUUGGAAGAAGCACUGAAACUAAAAUCAGAAAGACAAAAACACGCAUCUUCAUGGGUCCAAGCAGCAUUGGCCACGAAUCUUUCAUCCUUCGCUGUUUUCACAAGAGAACCUCAAUCAUCCAAGCUUCCAGCUUCAAGUAAUUCUCAAAAUCAGAAGACUCUCAUGGGAAAUCAGCCCAUGUUAGUACUACACAAUUCUUCAAGUGAAGAUUCUUCAUCAAAAGUUCCUGGGAAAACUCGUCAACCACUUUAUUCCAAGCACGCCUCACAAGGAGCUACUCGCAAACCUGGUGAUGGGUCAGCAAACAGGCACAAGCAGCUAGUCCAACCACCGCUCCCGGAGUGGGUUAGGGGAAAUGGCCUCGAUGAGGUGGUUAAUUUGGCUGAAAUGUUGCAAUUACAGUCCCGAGACUGGUUCGUAGGAUUCGUUGAGAGGUUCUUGGACAUUGACGGGGACAAUACCUUGUCAGAUAAUGGCCAAAUUGCAGGUAUGCUCUCUCAGCUGAAGAGUGUAAAUGAUUGGUUAGAUGAGAUAGGGUCGAGCAGGGACGAGGAAGACGAGGGAGAAUCAUGCCAGAUUCCAGCAGAGACGAUUGACCGACUAAGGAAGAAGAUAUACGAAUAUCUUCUUACUCAUGUUGAGUCUGCUGCUGCUGCACUCAGUGGUGGACCACAAUCAUCAUCAACUCCGAUCCAAACAACACAGAUUAAAGGCAAAAGGUGAAUGAAUGAGUACAUAGCUUAGCUUAACAAUUGCAUAAGUAGGGUAGAGUGGGACUAACCUUGGUCACUCAAAGUUGUCCAAAAAUCAAGAUCCCCUCAAAAAGAUCAUUUUUUCCCUCUUUCUAAUCUGUUUGUACAUAAAUCCUACAUGGGGUUUGAGGUAUAGAUGGUGGAGUGCUAAUUAUUUAUUAGAGGGACAAUGGAGAUAGCAAAUGUGAUUUGUGAAGAUAUUUUCUUUCUUUGAUUUUUCUUGAUAUUGUUCAAAUGAAAUCAUACAAAUUAAAACAGUGGAAGAUAUCAGUAGAAACUUUUCCAAUCCUUGCCUUGAAUGUGGUUCUUUUAUGGCAUCAUUGUUCUUGUGAGUAUCAAUCGCAAACAGUAUCUAACUGGUGGGGUGCAUUAGGACAAUUGACAAAUGAACUACUUAAAUCUGAAUAGGAAUAGUUUCUACUGUGUUUCUCAAAUCAUGUGUGCAGUAUUUUAUAUGUAAAGUUGAGGAAAUAAAUCCUAAGCCAAAUCUUAAAUCAAUUCAACAUCUCAUCUUGCAUUUUUGUGGUUAUUUCACUUGAUAUCAAAGCUUAGACUCUUUUGAAAAGAAAAAAAAAAGCUUAGACUCUGGAUUAAGCACCUUGACGAGUACCAAAGAGUAUAUCCAUAAAAAUAUGGUUGAAGCUUAGCUCAAGAAACUCCAACAACAUCUAUCUAUCUUGUUGAAGGUCACUUAGUGAUACGUCCUUGAACCUUCAAUGAAGAAUUUUAAUAGACAAGAUGAUGCUCUUUAUUGAGUCCACACACGUUGAUAUAUGUUACAUCAUAUAGUCUACGAUUUGUGUGCAUAUUGAAUUAUUGAUGAUAGCAAUAAUCCUAAUAUGAUAUGAUAGAAAAAAUAAAUUGCGAUAAAAAAGAAGAAAAAAAAGUAUAGUGUGAAUAUAUUAAAACUCAUACCACUUGUAAGUGAAAUCAAAGAAAUUAAGAGGUAGGUGGUGCAAGAUGUUUGCCUCUUGCCAGAUACUCAAAGACAACAAUCACACAUCAUCAUUGUCACCCACCAUACAGAUGAUCUCCCUUUCACACUGACAACCUAACUUGGCCAACUCCACUUAAAAUAUCAACUGAUAUAAAAUCUGAAUCAAAAUUAUUACGUAGGCUCACAAAAAUUUAGCUUAUUCCUUAUAUAUAUAUAGUUGAAGUGGUAAGGGUUGUGAACAUAUAGAUCGAGAGAAAGGUUCAUGGAUCAAUCAUUGAAAAAGUAAUUUAUCUUUCUGAUGUACAAAAUAUAAAAAUUAUGCUCAUUAUAUCUUUCACUAAUAAGUUUGUUUCAAAAAAAUUGUGCGAUUUUGAUCUCACUAUUUUAAAACGAGCAGUUUGCAUCCUCAAAUUUGUAUCACCAUCAAUUUUAGACCAUCCAUAUAAUUUCUAACAGAAGCAAGUGACAUAGCGUUAACUAAAUAAGGUGGCAUGCAUAAUGUAUUUCCAAGUAAUUAUAUAAACGAAAAAUCCUGUUUUGAAAUAGUGGUUAAGUGGGGUUUACCGGACAAGUUGGGACGAGCUGUACUCGUCUUUCACUAACCCUAAAUAUUGAUCGAAUCCAAUUAUUAAACAUUUGAACUUAACCACUUAAACAAACGAAAUCCAAUGAAGUGCGAGUUUGAUGAACUUAGAACGAUGAUAUGAUUAUCCGAAGAAAACAAAAAUGAUAUGAUUUGAAACAAGUUGUCCACGUGGAAUCAUUAAUACAUUAAAUAUUUGCCAAAAUUUAUGAGGUCGUGUGAUGAUUGAAAAAUGGAUACUCUUUCGUCACCUCACAAAAACGAGAAACAAAAUCAUAUAUAAUGAGAAAGACACAACAACAUGAUGUGAAAAUGAAUGAAUGUUGAUGAACAUGAACAAGAGGUGGUGGGUGCAAAACACGGUGGUAGUAGUAGAUACAAGAGGACGAAAAAUCUUCAAUUUCAACCCAACACUGAAUUGGUCAACCCCCAAUUUUCUUUCCAGAUGCAAUUCUCUCAAGCUCACUGCUGGCACCUCUUGUCUAGGUGCUUCUUUUCCUUUUCUAUCUCGCUGAAUAUCUCAUUGCUUUGUGUGAAUUAUUUUCGAAUAUGGAUUAGAACUAAUUAUGUGGUUUCAUGGUCAGACAGAGAAAACUUUUGCUCAUGAUAGGUGGUGUUGCUGUAUGNNNNNNNNNNNNNNNNNNNNNNNNNNNNNNNNNNNNNNNNNNNNNNNNNNNNNNNNNNNNNNNNNNNNNNNNNNNNNNNNNNNNNNNNNNNNNNNNNNNNNNNNNNNNNNNNNNNNNNNNNNNNNNNNNNNNNNNNNNNNNNNNNNNNNNNNNNNNNNNNNNNNNNNNNNNNNNNNNNNNNNNNNNNNNNNNNNNNNNNNNNNNNNNNNNNNNNNNNNNNNNNNNNNNNNNNNNNNNNNNNNNNNNNNNNNNNNNNNNNNNNNNNNNNNNNNNNNNNNNNNNNNNNNNNNNNNNNNNNNNNNNNNNNNNNNNNNNNNNNNNNNNNNNNNNNNNNNNNNNNNNNNNNNNNNNNNNNNNNNNNNNNNNNNNNNNNNNNNNNNNNNNNNNNNNNNNNNNNNNNNNNNNNNNNNNNNNNNNNNNNNNNNNNNNNNNNNNNNNNNNNNNNNNNNNNNNNNNNNNNNNNNNNNNNNNNNNNNNNNNNNNNNNNNNNNNNNNNNNNNNNNNNNNNNNNNNNNNNNNNNNNNNNNNNNNNNNNNNNNNNNNNNNNNNNNNNNNNNNNNNNNNNNNNNNNNNNNNNNNNNNNNNNNNNNNNNNNNNNNNNNNNNNNNNNNNNNNNNNNNNNNNNNNNNNNNNNNNNNNNNNNNNNNNNNNNNNNNNNNNNNNNNNNNNNNNNNNNNNNNNNNNNNNNNNNNNNNNNNNNNNNNNNNNNNNNNNNNNNNNNNNNNNNNNNNNNNNNNNNNNNNNNNNNNNNNNNNNNNNNNNNNNNNNNNNNNNNNNNNNNNNNNNNNNNNNNNNNNNNNNNNNNNNNNNNNNNNNNNNNNNNNNNNNNNNNNNNNNNNNNNNNNNNNNNNNNNNNNNNNNNNNNNNNNNNNNNNNNNNNNNNNNNNNNNNNNNNNNNNNNNNNNNNNNNNNNNNNNNNNNNNNNNNNNNNNNNNNNNNNNNNNNNNNNNNNNNNNNNNNNNNNNNNNNNNNNNNNNNNNNNNNNNNNNNNNNNNNNNNNCUCCUCCAACGCUCGCAUCACAUCGUCUCGCUUCCUCGCAUCCUCUGCUCUCGCCUAUCCCUUAGUGGAACCAUCAGUCGCACGGUUGAUGCCUCGAGCCUUAUCGUCGUCCACAUCAAGCAGGUAUAUGGUCGCAUCUCGACUGAUCACACGCAUGCUUGUCAUCUAUGCGUUAAGCGCCCCAAACAACAAACAAGGAAACCAACAAAGGUCAACUUCUAACACACACAUAUCAUAGGUAGGGUAUGCUUCCCUACCAAUCACAAGUCCUGCCUCAAACUAACAUUCACACAUAAGGGAACUAUAUUUAGCUCUUAAGUUCACAAUUACGGGGAACUAACUCAUAGUUCUAAGUUAUUGUUAGUCAAUGCUCGUGCACAUGCAUGCAGACGUUUCGAAUAUCCAUUAAGUCAAUCCCUCUUGGAAAGGCAGGACUUACAUAACUCCACGAUCGGAGUUGGACACCUCCAACGCACCGCUGCCCAACAGCUUGAUGAUCGAGGUUGGACUUCUCCAACGCACCGUCGUUUCACAUUCGUCUUUUGUUCAGGUCCAUCCCCUGAACGUCACCACCGACUAGCCCAGUCCAGAUCACAAGCUGUGGUCAACGAAGCCCACUCCAGGUCACUUGGCCCACAUACGCAUGCCAUGCAAGUCAGUCGUCAUCACUAGGCCCUAAGCCUUUUACGUUCAUCUGAUAUGAACAAAAUAUCAUAACAUAGUAACUUGCAUGCAUAACAAUAAAUGUAGUUAACAUCUUGGGCACAUAAACAUGUUCAUAAUAACACUAGCUAACAUUUAGUACAUCAUCAUCAUAUAGCAUAUCUAGCACUAAUAUCAUCGAUAGUCCUAGUAUCAUGCUUUCUAACAAUCACAAUCACAAACAAUUUAUUUAAGCUGAGGCCGAAGUGCCCUUACCUCGAAGGUACGCUUUCCUAAAAGUCUCGGGUUGCUCCUUGAAGCUAGGUCUACACUCAAAAAGGUCCUACCAACGAACGGACAGAGUAAUGUUACGAAUUAGUCAAUCGUUAGCUAUAGUAUAUCCCUUCCCCAUAUUUUCGAAAAUAUCUCCUUAAAAUCUCGAAAAAACCAAAACUUCCUCUUUCGUAAGAUCAAAACCUCAUUUCUAAAAUCAUUUUUUUAAAGAUCAUAAGAACAUCAUACAAACAUCAAUAAAUUCUUUAAGAAAAAUCCACAUAUUCCCAAACAUCUCUAAGCAACUCGAUUAAAAUCAUUCUCUUCUGGAUUUGGCAGAUCAACUUAAGCUGCAACCAUAGAGCAUAUUGAGAAUGACCUUGCUCAAGGCUUAGAAACUAAACUAAGAACAAGAAAAAUAAAAAGAAGAUCAAGAGAGGGAGAGAGAGCUCACACACUAAGAGAGGAGAGGAGAGCUCUUGGAUGUGAAGAAAUGAGAGGGGGAAAGACUCUAUUUAUAGUGAGGUGUGAGAGCCAAACAUUAAAUGAUUUUCUUUCUCCCCAAGAAGAGGCUCAUAUCCACGAAAUUUUCAGCUCAUUCUAGGGUUUAUAGACUCUUCCAACCUUUCUUGAUUGAAUCCUCAAAAUUUGGCUUAUUUCCUAAUUAAAUCCCUUUUAAAACUAUCAUUUAAAUCCUUAGCUUUUUAAAUAUUUAAAGCUGAAUCCAAACGUUUGUAAAUCAGAUAUAAAGAAGAUCCUUAAAGGUUUCAAAAGUGUAAAUAUUCAUCAUCUAUUAAUUAAAAGUUAAAAGAAUCAAUCCCUUAAAUCACUCAUUUCAUAAAAACCUAGUUAAAUAAGGAAAUAAUUGGAAAAGAAGUCUCCUUAAUUCUCCUCCAAGGCUCUUGGCCGUCCAACCUCACAAUCUUCAGCAUAUUUUCUCCAAAAAUAUUUAAAAAUAAUAAUUUAAAUAAAACCAAAAAGAAUUAAUGCAUCAAUUACACAAUUUCCCUCCUUAGUGCAUCAAAUUUUGAAUUCAAAAACCUUAUCAAUGAUUUUGGCUCCAAAAUUUUGUGCAUCACUUCCAUAAUACCUCAAAAAUAUUUUCAGAAUUAAUUUUAUAAAUAAACCAUAGUUUAAAAAUAAUUAAAUACAUUUUAUUUAAAUAAAACCCUAAAAAAAUAAAAAUAAAAAGGAAUAUUCACUCAUGGAAUAUCCUUAGAACCAUGCCCAUAAUCUCCCCAUAAGGUGUGGCCCACAAAAUCGUCAUCUCCGACUCGAUUCGCCAACUCAUCACCGCUAUCGAGCCGAUUUUCACCUAAAAGCCGUUCGAAAGUAAUCCUAGCAAUAUUACAGUCAAAACGACGGUAAUGACGAGUACAUCGUCAUCUAGAUAUUAUUCAACUUCUCCACUAUAUCAUACACUUGUUACUUCUCACCUUCUACUCACUAACAGCUACCAUGGCUGAAUAACUUCGGCAUGUCUCAAACUUGACUCGUCCUAAGCACACCUUAAACCUUUACCUAAAAAUAUUAACCACGGUGAGGGAGUGACUACCAACAUGAGUGAUAGAUAGGGUUAUGCUUCAGGUCCCAUUCGGACUACCAACCUUUCAGUUAUUUCAUGAUCACUAACAAGCACAUACACAAAAUCAUCAACCAAUCAUCUUUUGUUGUUUUAGUAUGGGGGUUUGUUGACUCGAGAAUAUAAUGGUAUUUUCCUUGUGUUUUUAUUUUCCUCGUGUUUUUAUUUUAUUUUGUUCUGAUUGUUUCAUAAGGAGAAGGCAUUUUCUCUAAAUACAAAAUACCUUAUUAUAAAUAAAUAGAUAGAAUUUAUACUAGUAUUUGUUGCCAUAAUUUACUCAGAAACAAAAUGAUUUUAUUUUUUUAAAUAAACUAAAUGAUGAAUAUAAUUACUCUUGGAAAAAAGUAAACUACAUGGUUAACUAACCAGAUUUUUAAGACGUGGGAGAAGCCGAUUUUUACUUAAUUUAAUUGAUUGACGUGACAUAUUUUUAAGAUUUGGAUGUACAAAAAAUUAAUAUCAUCCCUACAUCAGUCUUAAUAGGGGUUGUCUAAAUAACCCAUGCUCAGUUUUGGGAUAUAUCACCCAUGACCUUGUUGUACCAGUUAUAUUGUGACACGUGGCACGUUAUUAUCCACAUCACUUUUAAUAUUUUAUUUUCGUAAUAUAUAUUUUAUUAUUUAAUUUAAUUCUAGAACAACCCCUACUAAUUUAGCUAAUAGCUUAGUACUCCUCCUUUUUUAAAAAAUUAAAAAAUAUACCCACAAUCCUCUUUCACGUUCUUCCUUUAGUUUCAAAAGAAAAAAAAAAACGUUCUUCCCUUUGCCGGCGGCAACCGCGACCUAGAUCGACGUGGUGUGGUGGUGGACGCUUCUCUAACCAGCAUGCCAAAGUCGUUUGCCUCUUCUUCUUACGUCCUUCUUGAACCGGUUUGUUUUUCUUCAAUUCAGUUGUUUACACAGUUUACAAUUUCAAUUUUUCUAUACUGUUUUUAUUUCAGUGGUUGAUUGUUUCCAUGGAAUUUUAAGACUUUAAUAUGAGUCUAGUUUCUUUUCUGCAAUUGUGGCGUUGCAUUUCUACAUUUGUACAAUCUGAUUUUUAUGAUGCCCUUAAGCUGUUCGAUAAAAUGCUUCAUUGAAGUGUCUUCGUUCAAUUACUUUGUAAAAAUAUUGGUGUCAAUCCAGGCUCUGAGUUUGGAGUGGCAUGUGAUGAAGCAAACUAAUAUGGUUGUUUUUUUUUUUGUUAAGCCAAAAUACUUCUUCUUCUUUUUUUGACUCUAGGUACUGUUCUGUUACUUUUUAUUUGUACUAUCUACUCACUUGUAAGAGUUUGUUUCUAAUAUCCUAGUUGCUAAUUUCUUGUUUUCCUUGGCUGGGUUUUGAGCAUAUUCAGCAGGUGGAAUCUCACAUGACCUCUCUUUUUAUGAUGCUAAGGAGCUGUUUUUCGAGCAGAGUUGUUUUUCGCCUCAUCUGGUUCCCUGUUUUGCUGUUUAUUUUUUCUGCAACCUUAGGAGCUGCUGCAGAACACGUUUUCUAUGUGACCGAAGAGCACACAUCAAGAAAUCACAAUGCCUUAGAACAUCCCUUGUAGCCACUUUAUCAGAUUUUCUGUGACACAGUAUAAUGAGUACAGAAACUAUUUUUCAAAGUUGAGGAUUUGAAAAAAUUGAGGAUUUUUCUGAAGCAAUAUUUGGUAAAUUUUAGGUAUCUGUUUGAAAUUCAUAAUGAGGAUUUGAGAAUGAGAAUCUAAGUGAAUCAAUUGAAAUCUGUAACGCA